rnacentral:rRNA from 1 species
AACGAUCCCUAGAUGGCUUGCCAUCUUGGGAGAGUGGCGAACGGGUGAGUAACACGUGAGUAAUCUGCCCUCGAGUGAGGAAUAACUUCGCGAAAGCGGAGCUAAUACCGCAUAACACUAUGAAGCAUAAGCUUUUAUAGUCAAAGCCUUCGGGCGCUUGAGGAUGAGCUUGCGCCUUAUUAGCCAGUUGGUGGGGUAACGGCCUACCAAGGUCAUGAUGAGUAGCCGGCCUGAGAGGGUGUCCGGCCACACUGGAACUUAGACACGGUCCAGACUCCUACGGGAGGCAGCAGUGGGGAAUUUUGCGCAAUGGGGGAAACCCUGACGCAGCGACGCCGCGUGGAGGAUUAAGGCCUUCGGGUUGUAAACUCCUGUCAGAGGUGAAGAACGCCUGCAAAGGUUUGACGGUAACCUCAGAGGAAGCCCCGGCUAACAACGUGCCAGCAGCCGCGGUAAUACGUAGGGGGCGAACGUUGCUCGGAAUUACUGGGCGUAAAGGGUGCGUAGGUGGCUGAGCAAGUCGUUGAUGAAAUCCCCGGGCUCAACUCGGGAACUGUCAUCGAAACUGCUCAGCUUGAGGGAUGGUUGAGGAAAGCGGAAUUCCCGGUGGAGCGGUGAAAUGCGU